rnacentral:rRNA from 1 species
GACGAACGCUGGCGGCGUGCUUAACACAUGCAAGUCGAACGGAAAGGCCCUGCUCUUGUGGGGUGCUCGAGUGGCGAACGGGUGAGUAACACGUGAGUAUCCUGUCCUUGACUUUGGGAUAACUUCAGGAAACUGGGGCUAAUAUAGGACAGGAGCUCCUGCUGCAUGGGGGGGGUUGGAAAGUGUCGGCGGUUGGGGAUGGCCUCGGGGCAUAUCAGUGUGUUGGUGGGGUAGUGGGUUACCAAGGCUUUGACGGGUCGCCGGCCUGGCAGGGUGAACGGCCCCAUUGGCACUGGGAUGCGGCACAGGCUCCUACGGGGGGCAGCAGUGGGGAAUGUUGCACAAUGGGCGGAAGCGUGAUGCAGCAUCGCCGCGUGCGAGAUGACGGCCUUCGGGUUGUAAACCGCUUUCGCCUGUGACGAAGCGUGGGUGACGGUAAUGGGUAAAGAAGCACCGGCUAACUACGG